UCUUAAAGAUGCCAUUAUUUAGUCACUUGUCGUUAUUUAGUCACUUGCCGUCAAUCCACCGGUUAUGACCAGUUUUUGAUGUCAUUUUGACGUGAGUUUGCUACCUGAGUGUUUAGACAAUCUAUAAAAAGCACAGGAGAGGAUAGUUUCCUUAUGUUCAGUGGAUACACCGGAUACAAGUUUUUUUAUUUACGUAACUUUAUAUACGUCAUAUUCAUUUUUUCGCAAAAAGAGACUAUGUAAUCUUCAGGUGUGGCAAAUUACACGUUAAUCUGCAUUCUUCCUACUUCACUUUGCGGAAAAUGAAUCAUCAGCAGCAACUUCUAUAUUACAAAUACAAUCACGCGUUAGAAGAGCAAUCAAUCAUUCGGUGUGAUCGGAUAGUGUAACGAACACAAUAAGCCAAAGUGAAGUAAGUGAUACGUGAAGUACGCGGAUAUAGCACGCUAAUUUCAGAUAAUUAAGUGGGAAAAAUCUAGAAAAGGAGAUACGAAGUUUUGGAAACACAAAGAUUAAUCGAAUUUCGAUUCAAUUUACAAAUAAAAUCUGUGUUGCUCUUUUGUAUUGUUAUAAGAUGAAAUUUUCCGUCUGUAUUUUGUUAGUGCUAUUGAUACUCAGUUUAGUGUCAGAGGACCUUUGCCAGUACCGUGGUCACAGACGGAGAUUUCGGAAUAAAAAGCCGAAAUUUAACCCGUCGCUCUUCAACAUUAAGCCUUUUAUAGGCCCGAAUUCAGGCCAAAAACCGCCGUGUCCCCGAGGUCAGAUGUCGGGUAUGAAUAUGUGUCGCCCAGUCAGAAAAUGACAGGCUCAAAGAGAUCAGUAGUUCAGUAACAGUAUUUUAGCUGAAAACCGAAUGCACGGUAGAAUUCCAAAAUAUCGUCGCCACAGCACAGCCACAUAAUGACAAAAUUUUAACUUAACAUUUUAAUGACGUUUUCAGGAAGUCUCUAAACGUUAAUAAUAUGUCAUUAUGACGUCGUAUAGAAACGUCAUUAAGACGUCACGAAAAAGACGUCUUAAAAAUACCAUUAUUUAGUCAUUUGACGUCAAUUCGCGGGUUAUGACCAGUUUUUGACGUCAUUUUGACGUGAGUUUGCUGAGUUUUUAGACAAUCUUUAGAAAAAACCACAGGAGAGGAUAGUUUCCUUAUGUUCAGUGGAUACACCGGAUACAAGUUCUUUACGUACGUACAAGUUCUGUAUGUACGUCAUAUUCAUUCUUUCGCAUAAAGAAAACUAUGUGACUCUCAGGCGUGAUACGUUAAUCUGCAUUAUUCCUCCUCCUAUUUUGUGUACCGACGAAACUUCAAUAAAUUCAUCUUACUAGUUCUGCCUACAAUGCGCAUUUAUUUAAAUUAUAUUACAUGUUUUACAUAAAAAUAUAAUGAGAGAAAGAGAGAGAACUAUGCAAUAAAUCAUAUUUCAGUUUAGACAUAUCCAUGUGAUAGAGAAAUAAUGACUUUUCAAUGACACUUUUCAUUAAGAAAAGAAUAGAGAUUCACAGCAACAGUUACCAUACAGAUAUUUCAAACAUAUUACAUACAUAUUUUAGUCCAUCCCAUACAUUAUAUAUAUAGUCUUCAUACAAAUACAUUAAAUUCUAUUUUUUACUGAUGCGUCAGAGCAUUUCUUCUGCGAGUUCACUAAAAGAUGCAAUCAUCUAGCAGUAAAAAACCAACGCAAUUAGACGAGAACGUGGAGAGGAUGAAUCACGCUUUUUUAUUCUAACAUUGAAACUGUUAUAAUGAUUUGAUGUUCACAUUAGAACACAAAAUAUAUUGUAAAUCUGUGUAGAAAAAACUUGUAUACUCCUGGCCAGUUUUCUGGUAGAUAAACGUGUAGCUGACGCAUAAAGAAGUAACUAUGCCAUGUCUAGGUAUAGCUUCCGGAAUGGAAAAUCAAGUAACUAUGCCGUUAAAAAAUUAUAUUUAAAUUUAAAAAUAUAUUUAAUUUUAAAUUUAAGGAAAAGUUUUUAGAAUAAAACUUCAUCUAUUCUAUGCAAGCUAUCAUGCAAUAAAAAAAAUUAAAAAAAACUUUUGAUUAUUUAACAUGUAAUCAAUGUCAUUUUAAAUUUUUCAUAUGGCAUUACGCAAUUUUCUUUUUCAUAAUAUUGUAGACGACUUCAAGAUAAAUUCAAUACACUAUAUAAGAAAUAUAAUUUUUAUUUAUAUAUAAUAUCAUAUUGGCAGUGUUAUUAUAAAUAAAAUAAAAUUUUAUUUUAUUUAAGUUAAAUUAAAUUUUAUUUUAUUUUUAAUUUUAAUUGUGUAUCGGAAAUGUUUAUGUUUACGUACUACAUACAUCUAGUCAGAGCUUGUAAAUACUGCUAUUUAAAGUAAUGCUGCCAAUUUGAUAUUAAAUAUUAAUAAUAAUACUUCUUACAUAUAGUGCGUCUUAAAAUUCUCUAUAAUAUUAUGAAAAAAAUUGCAAGGUUCCAUUUGUAAAAUUCAAGGUAACAUUGAUUUCUUUAUGAAAAUAAAAUUUUGUUUAACAUUUUUUUAUUGUAUAUGGUAGCUUGCAUGGAACAGAUAAAUUUUCAUUAACAACAAAAAUAAACUUUUAAAAAACAGCAUUAAUAGCGAAAGGGUUAAAUGAAGCUCAAUAGUGUUUCAUUAAAUUAUUAUGAUAGCGCGCAAUAUAGCUACAGGCUUUUACGAAAACUAAUCUUGCGUAUAUGUGAUUAUAUGUGAAGAUUAUUUUAUUUAAUAUACGAUAUAAUACACGAUAUGUUCGAAAUCAUUUGGUUAUAUAUUUAAACAGAUCCUUAAAGAGCGCAGUUAUCAAAUUUACUGUAACUAUUAAUACCGAUGAUGUUGGCUCAGUAAUCUUAAAUGUUACAAACUUAAGUGAACUGACUCACAAUAAUUAAUAAAGAAUAUGUAUUCUCUCUUUUGGAUUAGGAUUUACGUUAUCAUAAUUUAUGGAAAGGCAAUUUUUGUAUUUUGUUUUAUACAGUUUACUGUCCCUAAAGAUUUCUUGUUAACUCUAUAAAUAAUACCUCUUGAAAAGUUACAUAUAGGUUUGUCACGGAUUUCUUUCGAAAAUACGACAUGUGUAUUUUAUGUAUGUUUGCAAAUAUCAGCAAAUUCCAGCAAUGUCAGGGAAAAUCAAAUUUGAGGUUACGCUCUAAAAUAUUAUUGGGGCGAUAACCGCGCAAGGACGAAAAUAUUCUGCGUAUCAACGAAGUUUCAACAAAUUUAUGUUAUUAAGUCCGGUCACGAUACGUGUGUAUCUAAAUUAUAUUACUAACUAUAUACGAAUAUAUAAUAAACUAUGGGAAUAACAUUUAAUUUGUAUAUGCCCAAGUGAUAGAAAUAAUAACGGCUUUCGACAGAAAGGACACAUUUACUUCACUGAUACAUUCCAUUGCUCUUCUAGCUUGACUGCGAACAGCAGCCAAUAUUUACCGACAUAUAGUUAUUUCACAUUAAUGUAGUCGGAGUGUUAUUUUUAAAACGCAUUCAACCAAGAGGUCGAUGUGAACUGAAAAGUGAGUUAGUGGAAUAAUAUUCUCCGCAUAGAUAACGGAAUUUGCACAAUUAGCAUUGUUUACAAUUGAUUGCAGUUUUACAAAAUUGUCAAAAUAAUACCAAUUAAUUUACCACAUAAUUUUUUCUUUUACGCUAAAUUUGUUUUUUUUUUUGGACAAUCUUUUAGAUUAUCUAUAAAAAAACUACAGGGGAGAAUAUAGUUUUAAUGCAUAUGCCAGGUAUAAGUUCUCCUAUCUACUUCACUGAUAUUCAUUACCAUCAAUCACGACUUGUAACGGCACAUAUUAAUUUGCAUCUUUCCUGCUCUAUAAUUUAGAAAUUACGUCGGAAAUUGCUUAGAAACGGAGCAACUUCUAUAUUAUAAGUAGGAUCACGCGUUAGAAUAUCAUUUACUCGGUAUGAUGGAUAACGAAUACAACAAGCCAAAGUAAAGUAAGUGAUACGUGAAGUACGCGGAUAUCAUACUUUAAUUUGAGAUAAUUAAAUGGGAAAAAUUUAGAAAAAGCGAUACGAAGUUUUGGAAACACAAAAAUUAAUCGAAUUUCGAUUCAAUUUACAAAUAAAAUAUGUGUUGCUCUUUUGCUACAAGAUGAAAUUUUCCGUCUGUAUUCUGUUAGUGCUAUUGAUACUCAGUUUAGUGUCAGAAGACCUUUGAGAGUCGUGAUGACAGACGGAAACAAGUACCGAGAAAACGGCCAAGAAUGCCAUUAGGUAUAUGUCCAUUCAGUCGUGCAGACGUGAAUUCAAAUAUAAGACCGCCGUGCCCCAAAGGUGAGAAGCUGAGUAUGGGAAGAUGUCGUCGCCCUGCAAGAUAUGAUAGAUAGUGAUAUACAUCUUUAACUGUCAGAGUCCAAAGAGAUCAGUAGUUCUGUAAUAGUAUUUUAGCCGAAAACUGGAUGAAGAAUUCGGUAGAAUUCCAAAAUAUCGUCGCCGCAGUACAACCACAUAAUGACAAAAAUAU